rnacentral:rRNA from 1 species
UGGGGAAUAUUGCGCAAUGGGGGAAACCCUGACGCAGCAACGCCGCGUGAAGGAUGAAGGUUUUCGGAUUGUAAACUUCUUUGAUGAGGGACGAAACAAAUGACGGUACCUCAAAAACAAGCCACGGCUAACUACGUGCCAGCAGCCGCGGUAAUACGUAGGUGGCGAGCGUUGUCCGGAAUUACUGGGUGUAAAGGACGUGUAGGCGGGGAUGUAAGUCAGAUGUGAAAUACCGAGGCUUAACUUCGGGGCUGCAUCUGAAACUACGUUUCUUGAGUGUCGGAGAGGACAGCGGAAUUCCUAGUGUAGCGGUGAAAUGCGUAGAUAUUGGGAGGAACACCAGUGGCGAAGGCGGCUUUCUGGACGAUAACUGACGCUGAGGCGCGAAAGCGUGGGGAGCAAACA